GUAUUGAUCGCGUGUCAACGCAAACAAAAUGAGGACAUUCUACAGACAUUUACAAAGGGGGUUUGUGUGAAAAACGCGAGCCGCCUCGAGGAGGAAGCCCACGCGAUGGUGCACAAAAGGGGUGAGAUGGAUUUCACGCAAGAGGACGCCCUCCCGGCGUGCACAACCCUUUCGAGUUGGCGACAGCCUUCGAGCGCCUCCCACGUCUUUGUUACGAUAAUGAUCCUUCCGCAGGUUCACCUACGGAAA
rnacentral:misc_RNA from 1 species